CCAAACGUCAUUACGUUUAAAUUGGUUAAGCUCCUCUUGCAUUGCCAAGGUCCAAUGCUCAUCCCCAAUUGCUUCGGAAAUGUUAGUAGGUUCAAUUUGAGAAACAAAAGCCAUUUGACCUACGGUGUCUUUAAGAAGGUUUUGUGUACUUACCCCUUUUUCGAUGUUGCCAAUUACCUUGUCGAGAGGAUGGUCUUUAGACGUCCUCCAAGCCUUAGGCAUCAUCAAAUCUUCCUCUUGUUGUGGUUCUUCUUCCGAUUGUUGUUCCAUGACUUCAUCUUGUCCUUCCGUUGGAUUCUCCUUUUCUGUUUUGUCUUGAAGACUUAUUUUGUUUAGAGAAUCUGCAAGAUGAUCACAAAAAUCCUUUCUCGCC
rnacentral:lncRNA from 1 species